AGUGUUGAAACACGGGUUUCUGUGCAAUCACCGAAGUUAAGCAAUGUUGAGCCUGGUUAGUACCUAGAUAGAUGACCACUUGGAAAUACCAGGUACUGUGA